UACAGGUGGUGCAUGGCUGUCGUCAGCUCGUGUCGUGAGAUGUUGGGUUAAGUCCCGCAACGAGCGCAACCCUUGUCCUGUGUUGCCAGCGCGUAAUGGCGGGGACUCGCAGGAGACUGCCGGGGUCAACUCGGAGGAAGGUGGGGACGACGUCAAGUCAUCAUGCCCCUUAUGUCCAGGGCUUCACACAUGCUACAAUGGCCGGUACAGAGGGCUGCGAUACCGUGAGGUGGAGCGAAUCCCUUAAAGCCGGUCUCAGUUCGGAUCGGGGUCUGCAACUCGACCCCGUGAAGUGGGAGUCGCUAGUAAUCGCAGGUCAGCAACGCUGCGGUGAAUACGUCCCCGGGCCUUGUACACACCGCCCGUCACGUCAUGAAAGUCGGUAACAACCGAAGC
rnacentral:rRNA from 1 species